CCUACGGGUGGCUGCAGUGGGGAAUAUUGGACAAUGGGCGAAAGCCUGAUCCAGCCAUGCCGCGUGUGUGAAGAAGGCCUUCGGGUUGUAAAGCACUUUCAGUGGGGAAGAAAGCCUUGGGGCUAAUACCCUCGAGGAAGGACAUCACCCACAGAAGAAGCACCGGCUAACUCCGUGCCAGCAGCCGCGGUAAUACGGAGGGUGCGAGCGUUAAUCGGAAUUACUGGGCGUAAAGCGCGCGUAGGCGGUCUGAUAAGCCGGUUGUGAAAGCCCCGGGCUCAACCUGGGACGGCAUCCGGAACUGUCAGGCUAGAGUGCAGGAGAGGAAGGUAGAAUUCCCGGUGUAGCGGUGAAAUGCGUAGAGAUCGGGAGGAAUACCAGUGGCGAAGGCGGCCUUCUGGACUGACACUGACGCUGAGGUGCGAAAGCGUGGGUAGCAAACAGGAUUAGAUACCCUAGUAGUC
rnacentral:rRNA from 1 species